AUUGAACGCUGGCGGCAGGCCUAACACAUGCCAGUCGAGCGGAUGAAGGGAGCUUGCUCCUGGAUUCAGCGGCGGACGGGUGAGUAAUGCCUAGGAAUCUGCCUGGUAGUGGGGGAUAACGUCCGGAAACGGGCGCUAAUACCGCAUACGUCCUGAGGGAGAAAGUGGGGGAUCUUCGGACCUCACGCUAUCAGAUGAGCCUAGGUCGGAUUAGCUAGUUGGUGGGGUAAAGGCCUACCAAGGCGACGAUCCGUAACUGGUCUGAGAGGAUGAUCAGUCACACUGGAACUGAGACACGGUCCAGACUCCUACUGGAGGCAGCAGUGGGGAAUAUUGGACAAUGGGCGAAAGCCUGAUCCAGCCAUGCCGCGUGUGUGAAGAAGGUCUUCGGAUUGUAAAGCACUUUAAGUUGGGAGGAAGGGCAGUAAGUUAAUACCUUGCUGUUUUGACGUUACCAACAGAAUAAGCACCGGCUAACUUCGUG
rnacentral:rRNA from 1 species